rnacentral:rRNA from 1 species
GGUUCAUUCAAAUUUCUGCCCUAUCAACUUUCGACGGCUGGGUCUUGGCCAGCCAUGGUGACAACGGGUACCGGAGGGUUAGGGCUCGACCCCGGAGAAGGAGCCUGAGAAACGGCUACUACAUCCAAGGAAGGCAGCAGGCGCGCAAAUUACCCAAUCCCGACCGGGGAGGUAGUGACAAUAAAUACUGAUACAGGGGCUUUUUGGGUCUUGUAAUUGGAAUGAGUACAAUUUAAAUCCCUUAACGAGGAACAAUUGGAGGGCAAGUCUGGUGCCAGCAGCCGCGGUAAUUCCAGCUCCAAUAGCGUAUAUUAAAGUUGUUGUGGUUAAAAAGCUCGUAGUUG